rnacentral:rRNA from 1 species
UUUUUUCCCGAAAGUAAAAGAUCUAAAUAGAUUUGUGAGUUUUUGUGUCAAAAAAAUUUAUGAAAACUGUUUAGGUGUGAAAUGCUAAUCGUUUUUACUAAUAUCUAGUAAUCUUAGAAAGAAAUUUAGUUUGUGAUAUAUAAGAGUUUCUUUAUUUUAAAGAGUUCUUUUAUAUGAUCUUAUAUUUUAGGGGAUGAGCCCUAAAAUAAAUUUAAAAGAAAAGAGUAUUUUAUAUUUUUUGUAGGCUUAGAAUUUGCCAUAAGAUAGUGUUAUAAGAUAAAAUAUAAGAAUUAAGAUUUAAUUUUCUUUGGUUUCUAUAAGGUUAAUAUAUAAACAAAAAAAUUGUUGAAAAAAUGAUAAUAUAAGUAGAUAAAGAGGAUUUAGAAUAAGAAUUUGAAAUUUUCAUUAUUCUUUAAGAUAAGGUUUGUAACAAAAGAACUCGGCAAAAAAGAUUUCCGAAUGUUUAACAAAAACAUUUCCUCUCGAGGAAGGGAGGUAAGGCCUGCUCACUGAAAUUUAAAGAGCCGCAGUAUUCUGACUGUGCUAAGGUAGCAUAAUCAUUAGUCUUUUAAUUGGAGACUGGUAUGAAUGGCUAAACGAGAAAUCAACUUUUUUUGUUAUAAAAAUUGAAUUUAAUUUUUUAGUGAAAAAGCUAAAAUUUUUCAGAAAGACGAGAAGACCCUAUAGAGUUUUAUAUUUUUAGAAAUUUUUUUUUAAUAGAUUUUUUUGAGUAAAAUUUUUUGGAAAUAUUUUGUUGGGGCGACAUUUAGAUAAAAAAAACUCUUUAUUUUCUUUACUCUAAUAAGAGAAUUUAUUGAUCCUCUAAAAGAGAUCAAAAGAAAAAAUUACCUUAGGGAUAACAGCGUAAUCUUUUUUGAGAGUUCUAAUCGACAAAAAGGUUUGCGACCUCGAUGUUGGACUAAAAUUUAGACA